rnacentral:rRNA from 1 species
CGCUGGCGGUGCGCCUUAUGCAUGCAAGUCGAGCGAAGCUUUUCAGUAGUUUACUACAGAAAAUGACUGAGCGGCGAACGGGUGAGUAACGCGUGAGCAACCUACCUUAGUUACUGGGAUAGCCCGAGGAAACUCGGAUUAAUACCGGAUAUUCUUAUUUAAUCACAUGAUUUUUUAAGGAAAGGUCAGCCGAACUAAGAUGGGCUCGCGUUCUAUCAGCUAGUUGGUAGGGUAAUGGCCUACCAAGGCUACGACGGAUAGCUGGUCUGAGAGGACGAUCAGCCACACUGGGACUGAGACACGGCCCAGACUCCUACGGGAGGCUGCAGCAGGGAAUAUUGCGCAAUGAGCGAAAGCUUGACGCAGCGACACCGCGUGUGGGAUGACGGAUCUAGGUUUGUAAACCACUUUCAGGAGGGAAGAAAAUGACGGUACCUCCACAAGAAGCCCCGGCCAACUACGUGCCAGCAGCCGCGGUAAUACGUAGGGGGCGAGCGUUGUCCGGAUUUAUUGGGCGUAAAGAGCUCGUAGGCGGUUCAACAAGUCGGUCGUGAAAGUUCAGGGCUCAACCCUGAAAUGUCGAUCGAUACUGUUGUGACUAGGAUACGGUAGAGGUGAGUGGAAUUCCGAGUGUAGCGGUGAAAUGCGUAGAUAUUCGGAGGAACACCAAUUGCGAAGGCAGCUCACUGGGCCGCUAUCGACGCUGAGGAGCGAAAGCUAGGGGAGCAAACAGGAUUAGAUACCCUGGUAGUCCUAGCUGUAAACGAUGGAUACUAGACGUAGGAAUUGGAUUAACGAUUUCUGUGUCGUAGCUAACGCGUUAAGUAUCCCGCCUGGGGAGUACG